AUUGAACGCUGGCGGCAGGCCUAACACAUGCAAGUCGAACGGUAACAGGAAGCAGCUUGCUGCUUUGCUGACGAGUGGCGGACGGGUGAGUAAUGUCUGGGAAACUGCCUGAUGGAGGGGGAUAACUACUGGAAACGGUAGCUAAUACCGCAUAACGUCGCAAGACCAAAGAGGGGGACCUUAGGGCCUCUUGCCAUCGGAUGUGCCCAGAUGGGAUUAGCUAGUAGGUGGGGUAACGCUCACCUAGGCGACGAUCCCUAGCUGGUCUGAGAGGAUGACCAGCCACACUGGAACUGAGACACGGUCCAGACUCCUACGGGAGGCAGCAGUGGGGAAUAUUGCACAAUGGGCGCAAGCCUGAUGCAGCCAUGCCGCGUGUAUGAAGAAGGCCUUCGGGUUGUAAAGUACUUUCAGCGGGGAGGAAGGGAGUAAAGUUAAUACCUUUGCUCAUUGACGUUACCCGCAGAAGAAGCACCGGCUAACUCCGUG
rnacentral:rRNA from 1 species